rnacentral:rRNA from 1 species
GAACACCAGGGGCGAAGGGGAUUUUUUGGCCUAUACCGACGUGAGGGCGCGAAAAGCGUGGGGAGCAAACAGGGUUAGAUACCCGGGUAGUCCACGCCUAAAACGAUGCAUACUAGGUGUCGGGGAUUCGAUUCCUCGGUGCCGAAGUUAACACAGUAAGUAUGCCGCCUGGGGAGUACGCUCGCAAGAGUGAAACUCAAAGGAAUUGGCGGGGACCCGCACAAGCAGUGGAGUAUGUGGUUUAAUUCGAAGCAACGCGAAGAACCUUACCAGGUCUUGACAUCUGGGUGUAAGCACUAGAGAUAGUGCCCCUCUUCGGAGCACCCAAGACAGGUGGUGCAGGGUAGUCGUCAGCUCGUGUCGUGAGAUGUUGGGUUAAGUCCCGCAACGAGCGCAACCCUUGAUCUUAGUUGCCAGCAUGUAAUGGUGGGCUCUCUAAGAUGACUGCCGGUGACAAACCGGAGGAAGGGGGGGAUGACGUCAAAUCAUCAUGCCCCUUAUGACCUGGGCUACACACGUACUACAAUGGUCGGUACAACGGGAAGCGAAGCCGCGAGGUGGAGCCAAUCCUUAUAAGCCGAUCUCAGUUCGGAUUGCAGGCUGCAACUCGCCUGCAUGAAGUCGGAAUUGCUAGUAAUCGCGGAUCAGCAUGCCGCGGUGAAUACGUUCCCGGGUCUUGUACACACCGCCCGUCACACCACGAGAGUUUACAACACCCGAAGUCGGUGGGGUAACCCGCAAGGGAGCCAGCCGCCGAAGGUGGGGUAGAUGAUUGGGGUGAAGUCGUAACAAGGUAACCGUAAAUCG